GGGUGACAAGCAUGUUCCCGUACCUCUUCGGAGUACCCAUUGCAUUAUACGGGAUAUUAUUGUAGUUUUGUGGCACAUCAGCAAUAAAUGGCAUGUUUUAGAAGUCGAUCAGUUUUUUGCAGAUGAUGUCGUACUAUCAGCAAACGAUGCCAAUGAUUUGCAGAGCAUGUUAGACAUUGCAAAUGAUUUUAGUAUAAUAUAGUUUUUAGAAACAGAUGAACGCCAAGAAAAAAUCCUAAUAAAUGUGGAAUCAUUAAGGACAGGUAUAAUACUGUCAUGCUUAAGGAUCUCCGGCGGUAAAUAAUUGGAUGUAUAACUGCAACAUAAC